rnacentral:lncRNA from 1 species
AAAGAUGGAGAAUCCAUGGUGCCACUUUCCCGGUGAUCCCGGUGGGGGAAGGGGUUGCCGCCCGGCAGAGAUUCAGUCCCGAAUCCCGACAGCGAAGAGACUUAGAUGGGUUUCAGCAGCCCAGGCUGGUCUCGAACUCCUGGACUCAAGUGAUUGGCCCUCCUCGGCCUCCCAAAGUCCUGGGAUUACAAGCGUGAGCCACCAUGCUCAGUUGGCGGGGGAUUAUCUGUGAUCCAAUGAAGUUGGACUAGAGAUGUGAAGCCUUAGAAAACGGUGGAUUGAAAAAAGAAUUUUAGUCUCCUCCAGAGAUUAUAUUUUGUGUGUUCAUUGCUCUCAAAAACAUGAAAAUAAAGAGUAUUUUAUAUUGUGAUUUGUAGGACAAUAGCAUGCUUGU